UGUUUCAUUGUUCAAACAAGCAAUCACUCUUUCUCCAUUAAUCCCAAAAAACUAUGAAGAAAUACUGUUUCAAUUCCAAAUGGUUUUUGUUACAUUUCCUCCGCCUGUGUCAUCUUUUAUGGAUAAUCACCUCAGCCUCAUCUGGUUUUGAAUCUGAUGAAUUGGCGUUACUUGAUUUCAAGAAACAAAUAACUCAAGAUCCCCUUCAAAUAAUGAGAUCCUGGAAUGCCUCUAUGCAUUUCUGCAAUUGGACCGGUGUUACAUGCAGUCCAACUAAUGGGAGGGUCACAAUCUUGAACUUGGAAUCGCAAAACUUGGUUGGCUCCCUCCCACCUUCUAUAGGAAACCUUACAUCUCUCACUGCUUUUAACCUUGGAAACAACAGCUUCCAUGGCGAAGUUCCUCCUGAAAUAGGCCGUUUACAGCACCUGCAGUAUCUCAACAUCACUGACAAUUACUUUGGUGGGAGUAUUCCAAUGAAUUUGUCCCUCUGUACAAAACUUAGAGUAAUUGAUGCUGCUGACAACCAGUUUAUUGGGCAGAUUCCGGACCAGAUUGAUUCAUUGUUGAAACUGGUGACGCUACUCCUUCCAGUUAACAAUCUUACAGGAAGAAUUCCUGCUUCAAUUGGGAAUCUUUCUUCUCUUGCCAUUCUAUCACUUUCAAGGAACAAUUUACAGGGCGGGAUACCCAAGGAAGUAGGACAGCUAUCAGGCAUCCGAUUUUUUCAACUUUCUCAAAAUAAUCUAUCUGGGAGGCAAGCAGGGGCACCAUUAGAGGAUUCUGAUCCUUCUUCGGAUCAAGGUUUUAGCUUCAAAAAGGUUUAUAAAUCUGUUGUAAAGAGACCCGUUGGCUUUUGCAAAUACAGUUAGCUUCUAUGAAGACACCCAACGCAAUUAUACUUAUUUCUAUUUUAAUUUUGCCAUUAUUCGACAUUGUUCUUUAAUCAUAACAACAAAUUACACUCAUAUGCACAGAUGUCUGUAUAACUUGUCUUGACGUCGUAGGGUUGAUUACUACUUGAAGCAGAGGCGAAAGUUUCGAUGUUUUUUCAGAAUUAGAGUUUGUCAUACACCCAGUUGGUCGACAUUGUCUGUAUCUACCCCUGCAUUGACGUCAUCAAGCAGUAUCGGAUCGAACGAGAUGAGUGAUUCUGUGGUCUGGUCUGUUGAGAUGACCCACAAAUUUCUAGUCCUGUUAUCUAAGCGAGCCAAAACUUCGCACGGUAUUGCAAUAAAAAGAGCUGAUUACCAAGAAAUGUUGGACGACAUAUCAUCACUGGCUGGCAAGAGACUCAACGUCAUACAAUUAACCUCUAAGUUCCUUCGCCUGCGAAAAGUUUAUCAAACACGGCAGAAAUUUCUGCAACACACGGGGUUCGGGUGGGAUCACGAGUCACAAAGUCCAACGUGUCCCGUUGAGGUUUGGCAAGAAUAUGUCAAGCAAAACCCAUUGGCGUAACAAUUUUACCACAAGGGACUUCCUCACAAGGAGUUUUAUAAAAUAAUAUUUAAGAAGCAAACUGCCAUUGGAAGAUAUGUGUACACAUCUACGUCCCAACCGGUAGAGACCUCUAGUUAUUCCAAUCACGGCGCGGUUCCCAUGGAUGAUAACAACUUUGAACCUGAUCCUGAUCGGACGACAGGGGAAAAACGGCCAAACACAUCUGGCCAUGGAAGAGCGAGAAAUGAGAGGAACAGAAGCGGCUCAGGACAAUCACUUGCGGAUGCCAUUUUUAGAUUGACGGACGAGCUUGCGGAGAAGUGGACUAUGGGAUCGAAGGCUAGCAAUCGUAGUGUAGAUGAGAGGGGAGAAGAGAACAUCAGUGCUCCAUUUGAUCUUUUUUCCAUGAGCAAUUGUAUUGACAUCAUGACAGCCAUGCAAGUACUAACACAGUUUUACUUGUCGGUUGUCACGUACUUAUAUGAAAAUCCAGGGUGGCGGGAGAUAUUCGUGAAACUCCCACUAGAGGAAAAAGGCUAACUGGAUUUAUAACAACUUUCCUAAUAAGUAGAUGACACUAUAUUUCAUAAGUAUUUGGCAACAAUUUUAUAUGCGUCAGUGGGUAGUUGUCAUUACAAUUACAAUUUAUAACGCUACUGUAUGAACUUAUUUAUGUGAUAUUACAUGUGUAAACACUGUUUUCGAUUGUCAUUACAAUUAAAUAUUGACUGUUAUAUUUUGCU